GUGACUGGAGGAGGAGCAGGAGGGGCACAUGGUCAGGAUGGAUUCACUACUUACUCUUCUGAAGAACACGUAAUUAUUGCUAAGUUAACUGAUUUGGAACAUAGAAAAUUAAACACCACCCAGUUGACUUUAUUAUUCAAAUCAACUCCAAGAGGCAAAACCAUAAGGAAGCUAAAGAUCAGAGAAGAGUAACUUGUCUAACAUGGCCCAGUCACAAAAUGACAGACCGCACAAAGAACUAGCCAGGCUCCCAGGACUCACCAAGAAUAAGGACAUGCAAAGGGAAGUUCUCCUGAUGCGAAAGUCCUCAACCCUAGUUGCUUGCUGAAGACAUGAAUUACAACUAAACACUAUGCCAUUGUGGAAAAAUCUUUUUGGAGGGAAGUUUGGAAACUAUUUUAAAUAUAUAAACCACAAUAAUCUUAAAGAAUGAGAGAAACUCUGGACCCCACAAUCCUCAAACCACCAUGUCUUCGGUUGUUGGGGUCUUUUCUCACAUUGUUGUAACCAACUAUCUGGGUUAACACACACUAAAGAGCAAUGCUGUUAGAGGAGCAGAGAAACUUUGCAAAACUCUGCUUUCUGAAAUAAAAGCAAGGCACUCUCCAUUAACAGCUGGUGGAUUCCUGAUUUCUGCCCACAGAAGCAUGUUCAGACUGAGAGCUCUCCCACCAGGGAAGAAUCACCUGCUUUAUUUUUGCUGUUCUCUUCUGAGCUAGUUUGGUCAUCCACUCUGUAUACAUUUGUGUGUCAACGUUAAGACCAAGGGAAAAAAAAAAAGAGUUGGUUGAUGACUUGGGAGGCUCUCAUAGUUGCAAUAACUAUGGAAGACAGAAGAACACUGGCUAUACUUUUUAUUUUCAGCACUAGUGUCUGGAUCUAUAACUAAAACCUUUUCUCACUCCUUCCUACCAAUUGCUAUCACGGCUAAAAUGUCUUUUCCUUAAAUCUGAUGGGUGUAAAAAGAAAAAGGAACAGCAUUUCUCUAGAG